rnacentral:lncRNA from 1 species
AGUUCAGUAUUGCAUCUUUUCCAAGCUGCUCAUGCAAGGGAAAGCCGAGCUUGCUCAAUCGUUCCAUCAGCUCGAUCAUGUACAAUACAUGAUCAGUGACAGAGGCACCAUCCUGCAUUUUGACGUUGAAGAUGGCACAACUAGUCUUGUGCCUCUUCACAUCAUCGGGUGUGCCAAAGGCAUCCUUCAAUACUUGAAGCAUGUCCUUUGGCUGAGCCGUUUGAAUCUGCGACUGAACUCGUCGCUUAUGGCAGCCAGCA